ACAAAGAGGUGACAGCCGUUAUUAAUACCGCCUGUCGUACUUUGUUUUCUCUACAGACCACACACACACACUCUCUUUGCUUACGACUUCCGAGACAAAGAGAUAGAGAGAGAGAGACUGCAAAAAAAAAAAAAAAAAAGAAUUCUUGUAAAGCUUUUGCCUUUUAGAGGAAAGAACAGUGCCAGAUCUUAGAAGGAUCCGAAGACCCAUAAGGAGCAAAAAAGCAACAAAAUAACUUUUAACAAGUCAAAAAAAAAGACAAAGAAAAAUCUUAUUAUUACCCACAAGACAACAAACUUUGCAUUCCAAAUAAAACUCACUUCUCUCUUCUUCUUCUUCUUCUACUUCUCCUUCUUCUCUCUUGUUUUUUUUCGCUUUGACUUCUUUUCACUGUCCCUUUGUCUUCAUGUUCGUCAGUUUCUUGUUACUCCGGAACAAGGCUUUUGUGAGAUGACGACUCACGUGUUUGUACCAAGAGAGAGACAUGGAAAUAACAGAACAAGAUGGGACAAGAACUUCUUGAACAUGUGUUCCUUCUUUUUCUUCUUUCUCUUCUUUGUCAGUUUUCAGAUAGGUUUGUCUUCGUCAGCUUCUUCUUCUUCUGUUGGUUUUUCUCGUCGUCACUUCGUCGUGUCUCCGUCGCCACCGUCGAGAAAGGCUCUGAGCUACAGUACUACUACUACUACUACGGCGACGUUUCGUGGGCCAUUGAGAAGAGUAGAUGACAUUUAUGGAGACGACAAGAGAGUAGUUCACACGGGUCCCAAUCCUCUCCACAACUAACUUUUUACGCGUUGCUAUUAUUAUCACUUACCCUCCCUUCACCCACCACCUACGAGGGCUACGAAGUAAAACGCAAACGUGGAACGCCAAUCGCGAUCCGAAGGUACUGGCGUUUAUGUAAAAUCGUGUUUGUUAUAGAUUUUGUAAGUUUGGAGAUCCUAUUUUUUUGUUUUUUUUUUAAUUCAUGGAGCAUAGAGAAACGAUUAUAUUUAGCUUUUAGGGUAGGGAUUGUGUUCGGCUAUAUUCAACUCUUUUAAUGUUAGUAUUGAGAAUUUAUAACUAAAGGAGAUUAAAUUAUCUUGAUACUUUAUAUAACUAAAGAGGAAAAUUCUAAACUGGUUACAAGUGUUGCAACGGUUACAAUGUUGUUUGUGGUUUAUUCGGUGUGUUAUAACUAAAGAGAAAUCAAUAACUUAGAAAUAUUGAGUUGUCUUUUAUUUGGUGUGUUAUGUUUCAAGAAUUGUGAGAUGGUUUGGAUAUUUAGUGGUUGAAAUUUGAGAAGGCUAGUGCAAAACAUUCACACAUCUCAUUUGGUGUGUGAUGUUUUAAGAAAGGAGAUGGUAUGGUGUUACUGUCUGUCUUGGUGGUUGUAACUUGAGAAGACUAGAACAGAAGAAGCUUUGCUGUGUACUGUUUAAAGAAAUGAGUAAUAU
rnacentral:lncRNA from 1 species